AUUGAACGCUGGCGGCAGGCCUAACACAUGCAAGUCGAGCGGGGUUUUCGGACCUAGCGGCGGACGGGUGAGUAAUGCGUAGGAAGCUACCCGAUAGAGGGGGAUACCAGUUGGAAACGACUGUUAAUACCGCAUAAUGCCUACGGACCAAAGUGUGGGACCUUCGGGCCACAUGCUAUCGGAUGCGCCUACGUGGGAUUAGCUAGUUGGUGAGGUAAUGGCUCACCAAGGCGACGAUCUCUAGCUGGUUUGAGAGGAUGAUCAGCCACACUGGAACUGAGACACGGUCCAGACUCCUACGGGAGGCAGCAGUGGGGAAUAUUGGACAAUGGGCGCAAGCCAGAUCCAGCCAUGCCGCGUGUGUGAAGAAGGCCUUCGGGUUGUAAAGCACUUUCAGCGAGGAGGAAGGGUGGUGUGUUAAUAGCACAUCAUUUUGACGUUACUCGCAGAAGAAGCACCGGCUAACUCUGUGCCAGCCGCCGCCGUAAAAC
rnacentral:rRNA from 1 species